rnacentral:snRNA from 1 species
UAAAUUAUAUUAGUUGAUCU